UACAUAAUACUCUCCUCCUCUAAAAAAGUCGCUAAUAAAAAUAAAAAAAAAUUAAAUUAUAUAAUUUUUUUUAUAAAUACUUAUUUUUUUACUUUUCUUCCCUAAUGUUCAAAAACUUGUAGUUUUACUUUCUCAACAUUUUAAGUUGUUACAUUUAGAGACCGUUUGGUUGCAUGUAGUUGCAAACAACUGUAUGUAAAUGCAAAUUUCGUGUUUGGUUUGAUGUAUUUAACUCCAACUGCUGCAGUAGGAGGUCCAACUGCAGCAGUUUGAACUACGGUCAAAUUGGCCGCAGUUCCAACUACAGUAGUUGAAGAGAGUAACUUUAAAUAAAAGGUAUGCUUACCUUCUCAAUAUUUUUUAAACAAAAAUUAUUUUUCUUUUUUACAUUGGAGGUUAUCUCACCAUCAUAUAUAUAAAAUAAUAAAAUUUUAAUAAUUAUUUCUCAACUGCAUGCAACCAAACAAAUUAUUUAUACUUGCAGCGCUUUCUACUACAUCCAACCAAACAUGAUUCAUGUAAUUGUAAUUGCUGUAUUUCCAACUGCAUGCGUCUCUAAUUACACUGCAUUUAUAAUUACAUCUAACCAAACGGCCUCUUAGUCCUCUUCCGUCAAGGUUCUAUCACUAUUCUGUUCAUUUGUUAUAAUUUAUACCGAAAUUGUUCUUCAAAAUGAUGUAAAUAUAUUUUAAAAAAUUCUUAUAAAAAAGGUAAAGGUAAUUUGGUCAUUUUGCUAUCACUAUUAAUGCCAUACCCUCUGAAAGCUUUUUUAAAAUUUUAAGGAAGCAAGAUGCAAAUUUUUAAAAUUUAGCAAGAAAAAAAUUUAAAAAAAUAUAUUUAUAAAGAAGUAAAGAGAAUUUGGUCAUUUUGCUCUCUCCAUUAACGCCUGACCUCUUGAAAGUUUUUUUUGAAAUUUUAAGGAUGCAAUAUGCAAAAUUUUAAAAUUCGGCAAGAAAAAAAAAAUUUUUAAAAAUAUUUAUAAAGAGAUUUUCUAUAUUUUAGCUAAUAAAAAAAUANCAUUAACGCCUGACCUCUUGAAAGUUUUUUUUGAAAUUUUAAGGAUGCAAUAUGCAAAAUUUUAAAAU
rnacentral:lncRNA from 1 species